GAUGAACGCUGGCGGCGUGCCUAAUACAUGCAAGUCGAGCGAACAGACGAGGAGCUUGCUCCUCUGACGUUAGCGGCGGACGGGUGAGUAACACGUGGAUAACCUACCUAUAAGACUGGGAUAACUUCGGGAAACCGGAGCUAAUACCGGAUAAUAUAUUGAACCGCAUGGUUCAAUAGUGAAAGACGGUUUUGCUGUCACUUCUAGAUGGAUCCGCGCCGCAUUAGCUAGUUGGUAAGGUAACGGCUUACCAAGGCGACGAUGCGUAGCCGACCUGAGAGGGUGAUCGGCCACACUGGAACUGAGACACGGUCCAGACUCCUACGGGAGGCAGCAGUAGGGAAUCGUCCGCAAUGGGCGAAAGCCUGACGGAGCAACGCCGCGUGAGUGAUGAAGGUCUUCGGAGCGUAAAACUCUGUUAUUAGGGAAGAACAAAUGUGUAAGUAACUAUGCACGUCUUGACGGUACCUAAUCAGAAAGCCACGGCUAACUACGUG
rnacentral:rRNA from 1 species